rnacentral:rRNA from 1 species
UACGAAGGGGGCUAGCGUUGCUCGGAAUCACUGGGCGUAAAGGGCGCGUAGGCGGCCAUUCAAGUCAGGGGUGAAAGCCUGUGGCUCAACCACAGAAUUGCCUUUGAUACUGUUUGGCUAGAGACCGGAAGAGGUAAGUGGAACUGCGAGUGUAGAGGUGAAAUUCGUAGAUAUUCGGAAGAACACCAGUGGCGAAGGCGGCUCACUGGCCCGUUACCGACGCUCAGGCGCGACAGCGUGGGGAGCAAACAGG